AUGAACGCUGGCGGCGUGCUUAACACAUGCAAGUCGAACGAUUAAGACGGCUUCGGCCGUGUAUAGAGUGGCGAACGGGUGAGUAACACGUGACCAACCUGCCCCGCGCUCCGGGACAACCGCUGGAAACGGCGGCUAAUACCGGAUGCUCCGGGGAGGCCCCAUGGCCUCCCCGGGAAAGCCCUGACGGCGCGGGAUGGGGUCGCGGCCCAUUAGGUAGACGGCGGGGUAACGGCCCACCGUGCCCGCGAUGGGUAGCCGGACUGAGAGGUCGACCGGCCACAUUGGGACUGAGAUACGGCCCAGACUCCUACGGGAGGCAGCAGUGGGGAAUUUUGCGCAAUGGGGGGAACCCUGACGCAGCAACGCCGCGUGCGGGACGAAGGCCUUCGGGUUGUAAACCGCUUUCAGCAGGGAAGACAUAGACGGUACCUGCAGAAGAAGCUCCGGCUAACUACGUGCCAGCAGCCGCGGUAAUACGUAGGGGGCGAGCGUUAUCCGGAUUCAUUGGGCGUAAAGCGCGCGUAGGCGGCCGCCUAAGCGGAACCUCUAAUCCCGGGGCUCAACCUCGGGCCGGGUUCCGGACUGGGCGGCUCGAGUGCGGUAGAGGCAGGCGGAAUUCCCGGUGUAGCGGUGGAAUGCGCAGAUAUCGGGAAGAACACCGAUGGCGAAGGCAGCCUGCUGGGCCGCCACUGACGCUGAGGCGCGAAAGCUGGGGGAGCGAACAGGAUUAGAUACCCUGGUAGUCCCAGCCGUAAACGAUGGACGCUAGGUGUGGGGGGACCAUCCCCCCGUGCCGCAGCCAACGCAUUAAGCGUCCCGCCUGGGGAGUACGGCCGCAAGGCUAAAACUCAAAGGAAUUGACGGGGGCCCGCACAAGCAGCGGAGCAUGUGGCUUAAUUCGAAGCAACGCGAAGAACCUUACCAGGUCUUGACAUCCCGAUGAAAAACCCGUAACGGGGUUCCCUCUUCGGAGCAUCGGAGACAGGUGGUGCAUGGUUGUCGUCAGCUCGUGUCGUGAGAUGUUGGGUUAAGUCCCGCAACGAGCGCAACCCCCGUCCCGUGUUGCCAGCAUUCAGUUGGGGACUCGCGGGAGACUGCCGGCGUCAAGCCGGAGGAAGGUGGGGACGACGUCAAGUCAUCAUGCCCCUUAUGCCCUGGGCUGCACACGUGCUACAAUGGCCGGUACAGAGGGUUGCCACCCCGCGAGGGGGAGCGGAUCCCGGAAAGCCGGUCCCAGUUCGGAUCGCAGGCUGCAACCCGCCUGCGUGAAGUCGGAGUUGCUAGUAAUCGCGGAUCAGCAUGCCGCGGUGAAUACGUUCCCGGGCCUUGUACACACCGCCCGUCACACCACCCGAGUCGUCUGCACCCGAAGCCGCCGGCCGAACCCUUCUGGGGCGGAGGCGUCGAAGGUGUGGAGGGUAAGGGGGGUG
rnacentral:rRNA from 1 species